AUAUAAUUAUAUUGAUUGAGUAAAUCUAUGGGCGUGUUAGAUUCGCUCUUAUAGAUGAGUGUUUGAUACGCAGAAGUUUCAUUCUAAUUUUGAUUUUUGAGUAGAAUAGAAAUUCCCUAACCAAUCCGGUCAGAUUGAAAAUUGAAUUCAGACGAAGUGAAUGCCUGUUCCACAAAUAUCUUAAUUAUAUCUAAUAUUUUUAUUUAAAGCUUUAU
rnacentral:lncRNA from 1 species